rnacentral:rRNA from 1 species
CCUACGGGAGGCAGCAGUGGGGGAUAUUGCACAAUGGGGGGAACCCUGAUGCAGCGACGCCGCGUGGGUGAAGAAGCGCCUCGGCGCGUAAAGCCCUGUCAGCAGGGAAGAAAAUGACGGUACCUGAAGAAGAAGCCCCGGCUAACUACGUGCCAGCAGCCGCGGUAAUACGUAGGGGGCAAGCGUUAUCCGGAUUUAUUGGGUUUAAAGGGUGCGUAGGCUGUGAGGUAAGUCAGCGGCGAAAUGCCCCCGCUCAACGGGGUGAAGUGCCAUUGAUACUGCCUUGCUGGAAUGCGGAUGCCGUGGGAGGAAUGUGUGGUGUAGCGGUGAAAUGCUUAGAUAUCACGAAGAACUCCGAUUGCGAAGGCAGCCUACUAAACUGCCACUGACAUUGAUGCUCGAAAGUGUGGGUAUCAAACAGGAUUAGAUACCCCUGUAGUC